AUCGAACGCUGGCGGCAGGCUUAACACAUGCAAGUCGAGCGGAGAUGAGGUGCUUGCACCUUAUCUUAGCGGCGGACGGGUGAGUAAUGCUUAGGAAUCUGCCUAUAGUGGGGGACAACAUUCCGAAAGGAAUGCUAAUACCGCAUACGUCCUACGGGAGAAAGCAGGGGAUCUUCGGACCUUGCGCUAAUAGAUGAGCCUAGUCGGAUUAGCUAGUUGGUGGGGUAAAGGCCUACCAAGGCGACGAUCUGUAGCGGGUCUGAGAGGAUGAUCCGCCACACUGGGACUGAGACACGGCCCAGACUCCUACGGGAGGCAGCAGUGGGGAAUAUUGGACAAUGGGGGGAACCCUGAUCCAGCCAUGCCGCGUGUGUGAAGAAGGCCUUAUGGUUGUAAAGCACUUUAAGCGAGGAGGAGGCUACUGAGACUAAUACUCUUGGAUAGUGGACGUUACUCGCAGAAUAAGCACCGGCUAACUCUGUGCCAGCAGCCGCCGUAAUAC
rnacentral:rRNA from 1 species